CUGAAGUAGCUAAAGUUAAGAAAGAACAACUGUGGCUUAAAGUCUUCAUAUUUGAAAGUUGAAUCUCAGCCUUUGAGAGGCUUUUUGAACGUGUGCUCACGUAUGCAGGGGAUAUCAGUAUUUAUUUGCUUGUUGGUUCUUAAUUUUUGUGUUUCGUUUUGGAUUUGUUAAUAUAUCAUUUUGUGCAUCUCAGUCUGUGAAUCGAUGUUUUAGAUUGGAUUUUUGUGGUUUUGAAUUUGUGUGCCUGAGAAGAGUUAUCCAAAGGUUUGAUUGAACAUUUUUCCUCGUUCUGUUGCAAUUUUGCUGUCGUUGUGGCCCUUUGUGAGACUUUGAUUUGUCUUUUUUUUUUUUUUUUUUUUUUCGCUCUGUACAACUUUUGUAAAAGUGAAGUGUUCGUUUUCAAUUUUGAGAUUGAAUUCAAGCAGAUUUCCAAGUUUUUUUUUUAUUAAUCUUAAAUCAUAUUAGUUAAUUAUAGUUAAAUUAAUUUUAUUUAUUUUUUUAUGUUAUGUUGCUGAAAUAGCUAAAGUUGAGAAAGAACAGUUGGAGCUUAGAGUCUUGCACUUGGGAGUGUAAAUUUGGAUUUAUAAAUGGGUUUUUUUGUUUAAAUAUUUGGGUUGUAAUAUUGGGGAUUUUGUUUGUGGCUUCGAAUUAUGGGUGAUGGUGGUUAAUGUGGUUUUGUUUUUCGGUUUCUGACAUUUCUUUGCAGCCUGCGAAGGCCUCUGUAUUUAAGCUGAAAUAGCUAAAGUUGAGAAUGUUGGAUCUGUUGCCUUAGGGAAGAAAUUUUAAACCUACAAAAGCUUGGUUUUCAGGAAAUCGCCAAUCCUGCAGACACUUUGGGUUUCCUGCUUUCUCACCAGAGAUCUCCGCCAUCACUGCUCCACCAAACUCGCUGAUAGCGUCCACUCUCUCAAACCAGAUCUUUGAGAGGAUACCCAUCAUUUGGCUGAUUGCAUAGGAUUGCUACAUCUGAACACUGUACAGGCCUCUAGAAGUUUGAAUUGUGAUUGGAAAUUGCAGUCCACACAUGGAGUAUAGGAGGUGCGGCUUUUCGUAUUUUUGGCCUUUUUUAUCAGCUGUUGUAACAUUUUUGUAAUAGAGGUGAGUAAUUUACAUAUUUUUUCAAGCCUUUCUCUAAGAAAGUAAUAAUUUUUUAUGAAAGUUGUGAGACUUCACUUCUAUAUUAUCUCAUGGUUAAAUGUGUUUGAUGUUAUUUUAUGAAUAUGUUAAAUGGGUUAAGAUGCAUAUUGUUGUUUACAGAGUAAAAAAUAGUUAGCUGCUGUUUUUUGUGUUUUGGGGAUUUUAUUAGAUUUGAAAGACGGAGACGAAAUUAAUUUUGAACAAUCUGUGUGUGGGGAAUGCUACAUAUCGGAUUUAGGUUAUACUGUGCAAAGUUUUAUUGUGUGUUGUUAUCUGCGCUAUACCAUUUCUAUGUAGGCUUCGAAAGUUAUUCAUGAGCUUUUAUAAGCACUUUCCAUAUUUUAAGCUGUCAUUUUGGGUUCUUUUCCAUUAGGUCAUUAGCUACUGAAUGAUGGAGAAAUGAGGACCAUGCCAUUGAUUUUGGGUUCUUUUUAUAAUUUUCUGAUUUUGGGGUUUUGCAGGGAGCGCUGAUGUACUGAUUUUAUGGGUUUUUUUUGUCCUUGCAGGAUUUUGGGUCUUUGAAAUGGUUACGUGUUGUUUUUAACUUUUUGGUUCUCGUGUGUUCUGUUCUUCAUUGCUUCGUGAUUCUCAUUUUUCAGUAUUGGGUAAUGGAAAUUUGUAAAAAUAGUCGUACGUUUUUUUAGAAAGUUGGCAUUUUUAGUUAUAUUUUAUGUUUAAUCCCAAAUGUAAGACUAGAAAAUAAUUGAAAUGAUGGUUUUUUUAAAAACUCUUAAUUUUUUUUUUCUUCUGGGAUUUAAAAGCAUCUUUUCCCGAUUGGUUACAAGGGUUAUGUUCUCUAUAAUUGGUUCACCAUGUUUGAUUAAUUCUAAGUUUUGUCCUACUAAUUUUUUUCUUCUGUGUAAUGAGAUAUUUCUUUUGGUCUUUAAGAUUUCGGCAUGGGAAUGUUCACCUUGUCUAAUUAGAUUGUGUAUGCCUUUAGUUCUUUAUUUAAUUGUUCUGUUUGCGUUCGGUGUGAUGAUCAAAAUUUUAUAUGUUUGGAAUUAUUCACUUAACACCAAUUUGUUACAUUCAGGUCUCCACCCCACACUUCACAAGUUCAAUAGAAGACGGUUCUGUAGAUUGUGUCUGCAAUUAGAUCAGAGAUCAACCGUUAUUUUGUUAUCAUUUAAAUUAUAUAAGUCGCGCGUAGAGCGCCUUAAUUACAAAAGGGUCUUCCGCACGCGCGUGAGUGCGUGUAGGGAGGCUAGUAUUAACUAAAGUUGAUUUGAAUGUGAUCACGAUGGCAACCACUAACAAUAAAACAACAAUCUCCUUAAUCUAGGAGAAAGAACCAACAGGUGAGGAAGAAAAGAAAGGAGGAAAGAGAGCUCUGCACAUGCAAAUGUGCUUCUUGGGGAUGUUGGAGCUGGGAAAUCAAGUUUGGUGUUGCGCUUUGUAAAAGAACAAUUCGUUGAAUUCCAGGUUUGUUCUAUAUCUUUCAAAGGAUGCAUUUUCUUUUUUAUCCAUACCUUUACUUUUAUAGUAUGUUAUUACAAGAAUCAAUUGCCACCCGUAGUUGGUGGUAUUAUCUUUACAACACAUUCAAAGCAGCGAAUAAAAUCGCACUUGCUAUUUUUUCUGUCAAUUGGACUACUAGAAAACUAUAGAAAUAUUUGGUGAAAGCAAUGAAGAAAUCAUUAUGAUUGAUCUGCAAAGAAGCUCUAAUAAGUUACAAGAGAGUAGCAAUGUAAAUUGAGCUACUUAUUUUAUGGAUCAAUUCACCUAUCUCUUGCCUUUUCUUUUA